AUUAAAAACCAAAAACAGAAAC
rnacentral:sRNA from 1 species